AUUGAACGCUGGCGGCAGGCCUAACACAUGCAAGUCGAACGAGUGGCGGACGGGUGAGUUAGGUCUGGGAAACUGCCUGAGGGAGGGGGAUAACUAAUGGAAACGGUAGCUAAUACCGUAUACCACCAGAUGUGUCCAGAUGGGAAUAGCUUGUUGGUGGGGUAACGGCCCACCAAGGCGACGAUCCCUCGCUGGUCUGAGAGGAUGACCAGCCACACUGGGACUGAGACACGGUCCAGACUCCUCCGGGAGGCAGCAGUGGGGAAUAUUGCACAAUGGGCGCAAGCCUGAUGCAGCCAUGCCGCGUGUAUGAAGAAGGCCUUCGGGUUGUAAAGUACUUUCAGCGGGAAGGCGUUACCCGCAGAAGAAGCACCGGCUAACUCCGUGCCAGCAGCCGCGGUAAUAC
rnacentral:rRNA from 1 species